rnacentral:rRNA from 1 species
CAGUCGCCGCGGGAAAACGUAGGUGGCAAGCGUUGUCCGGAAUUAUUGGGCGUAAAGGGCUCGCAGGCGGUUUCUUAAGUCUGAUGUGAAAGCCCCCGGCUCAACCGGGGAGGGUCAUUGGAAACUGGGAAACUUGAGUGCAGAAGAGGAGAGUGGAAUUCCACGUGUAGCGGUGAAAUGCGUAGAGAUGUGGAGGAACACCAGCGGCGAAGGCGACUCUCUGGUCUGUAACUGACGCUGAGGAGCGAAAGCGUGGGGAGCAAACAGGAUUAGAUACCCGUGUAGUCCCUGUCUCUUAUAC